rnacentral:rRNA from 1 species
GACGAACGCUGGCGGCGUGCCUAACACAUGCAAGUCGAGCGGGGAGAGAUUUUCGGAUUUCUCUUUAGCGGCGGACGGGUGAGUAACACGUGGGUAACCUGCCUCAAAGAGGGGGAUAGCCUUCCGAAAGGAAGAUUAAUACCGCAUAAUAUCAGGAAGCUGCAUGGCAUUCUGAUUAAAGGAGCAAUCCGCUUUGAGAGGGACCCGCGGCGCAUUAGCUAGUUGGUGAGGUAACGGCCCACCAAGGCGACGAUGCGUAGCCGACCUGAGAGGGUGAUCGGCCACAUUGGAACUGAGACACGGUCCAGACUCCUACGGGAGGCAGCAGUGGGGAAUAUUGCACAAUGGGGGAAACCCUGAUGCAGCAACGCCGCGUGAGUGAUGAAGGCCUUCGGGUCGUAAAGCUCUUUGAUCAGGGACGAUAAUGACGGUACCUGAAAAACAAGCCACGGCUAACUACGUGCCAGCAGCCGCAGUAACAC